UACAGAGGUCUCAAGCGUUGUUCGGAUUCAUUGGGCGUAAAGGGCGCGUAGGCGGCGGGGUAAGUCGGGUGUGAAAUCUCAGAGCUCAACUCUGAAACUGCACUCGAUACUGCUCUGCUUGAGGACUGGAGAGGAGACUGGAAUUCACGGUGUAGCAGUGAAAUGCGUAGAUAUCUGAAGGAACAUCAGUGGCGAAAGCGACUUCCUGGACCAAUACUGACGCUCAUGUGCGAAAGCGUGGGGAGCAAACAGG
rnacentral:rRNA from 1 species